rnacentral:tmRNA from 1 species
GGGGACGCCCCGGUUUCGACGGUGUUCGUGGACAGUGACGUGGCGAGCCGAGGAUGGUCGUUGGCCUCGUAAAUCAUCCGACCAAGCCUUUAACUGGCAACAACAGCGAUUCUUUCGCACUGGCUGCUUAAUCCCAGCCCAGCGACCGCAUAGCCCGGCCAUUGGCGCUGCGCGAGCUGACACAAAAGAUGGCUAGUUCUGUGCGUUGUCUCGGCGCACCGGGCGAAACUUAGAGACUUGACGCGAAGGCAGCCCGUUCUCAGGCGGCCCAGCGUUGAAACCUAAAUUGAGAACUACGCUCGUAGAAGCCCACUCAAGCAACAUCGGACGAGGGUUCGACUCCCUCCGUCUCCACCA